AAACACACUUAUUUAUAGUGACACAUUUGAAGUUAAGUGAGCAAUCACAGAAAACAAAGUUGGUCCCAGGAAAAAGUACUAUCAUGAUGCUAUCAAACAGAUGCGGUCUAGCAGUUAUGAACACUUGUAGAGAGUACAGGUAUCUACCAUCUGUGACAUUUUCACUACUUUCUCCAGAGCUGAUUGCAUCAGUGUUAACCUCUCCUGCAUCCCCAAAGAGAAACACAGCAACAUUUUUCACCUGCUGGCAAACUACCUUGAGACUGAAAUUUAAUCAAUCUGCUGAUUAGGAACAGUUUAUUAUAUAGUUUCUUCCAUGUGUAGAUGCUGUGUGUUUUCCAGAAAAGACAUUUAUGUCUUCUGAAUGCAAACCCUUUCAUCGCUUGGAAAUUUGUAAUGAAAGAAAUAUCUACAAAACAGAAAUAUUUCCCUCAACACCGAAAAGUUUUAUUUUAACCUGUCUGAUAUUGAGUCAAGCUGGGAGCCAUGACUCCACCUUUGGUGUGAGUGCUCUUUAAACUGUUGAAUUCCUGGAUGAAGAAGGACCUUUUCUACCACCUGCUUUUUCUGAGUACCACUCCGGAAAGUUUUUUUCCCCACCAAAACUGCUCUGAAAAUUUAGGUCAUGUUUUCAAAUAGUUCCAUUAUAAUACAAAAUUCAUGCGUGUUAGAAGUAAAAUUUACUUUAAAAUAAACGUUGAACUUCACUCACAGAAGUCAAGAGCAGCA